rnacentral:lncRNA from 1 species
GAGCCCGAAUCUGAUAUAUUGUUGGUCAGUUGUUGUUUGAUCUAUUUUUCAGUAUUAAAUGCAGUAUGGUAUUUGAUGUAUUUAUUUUAUGGUUUCGUAUGCAUGAAUCAUGGUUUCUUUUAUUAUGGUUUGAAUUAUGAUGAACCCGAUAUUGUGUUGUUUUGUUUGGUGUUAUUAUUAGUUUACGUUUUUAUGUAUGAUUGGAAAAUUGAGACAAAGGAAAAUAGAAAAAAAGUUAUGUGAAUUGAUAAAUGGAUAAUGUGGACAGCCUGACUAGAUAUCCUGGGAGAUGGUGGACGGAACGGGUCCGUAGGGAACCCUACCGAGAACGUGAUCUCUCAUAUCGAACGAGGU